rnacentral:misc_RNA from 2 species
CAACCCUCAAGCUCAGCUUGGUAUUGGGUGUCACCUGCCAUGGUGCACCUCAAAAUCAGUGGCGGUGCCAUCUGGCUUCAAGCGUAGUAAUUCUCUUGCUUUGGAGGUUUGGAUGUGUGCUUGCCAUCAACACCUAAUUUAUCAAU